rnacentral:rRNA from 1 species
AGUGAACGCUGGCGGCGUGCUUAACACAUGCAAGUCGAACGAGAACGGAUUAUAGCUUGCUAUAAUUGUCAGCUAAGUGGCGCACGGGUGAGUAAUGUAUAGGUAAUAUGCCUCUUACUAAGGGAUAACAAAUGGAAACGUUUGCUAAUACCUUAUACUCCUUAUUAACAGAAGUUAAUAAGGGAAAGAUUUAUUGGUAAGAGAUUAGCCUGUAUUGUAUUAGUUAUUUGGUGGGGUAAUGGCUUACCAAGACUAUGACACAUAACUGGUUUGAGAGGAUGAUCAGUCACACUGGAACUGAGACACGGUCCAGACUCCUACGGGAGGCAGCAGUGGGGAAUAUUGCACAAUAGACGAAAGUCUGAUGCAGCAACGCCGCGUGGAGGAUGACACAUUUCGGUGCGUAAACUCCUUUUAUAUGAGAAGAUAAUGACGGUAUUAUAUGAAUAAGCACCGGCUAACUCCGUGCCAGCAGCCGCCGUAA